CAACCCAGACCGCCAGCUAAGGUCCCAAAGUCAUGGUUAAGUGGGAAACGAUGUGGGAAGGCCCAGACAGCCAGGAUGUUGGCUUAGAAGCAGCCAUCAUUUAAAGAAAGCGUAAUAGCUCACUGGUCGAGUCGGCCUGCGCGGAAGAUGUAACGGGGCUAAACCAUGCACCGAAGCUGCGGCAGCGAACGUAUCACCCAAGACAACUUUACGGAGUUGACGAUUGACGGAGCGAAGCGACGUCAAAGCRUUCAUUAAAGUCGAGUUGGCUUAGGGAUACGUUCGUUGGGUAGGGGAGCGUUCUGUAAGCCUGUGAAGGUGGCCUGUGAGGGUUGCUGGAGGUAUCAGAAGUGCGAAUGCUGACAUAAGUAACGAUAAAGCGGGUGAAAAGCCCGCUCGCCGGAAGACCAAGGGUUCCUGUCCAACGUUAAUCGGGGCAGGGUGAGUCGACCCCUAAGGCGAGGCCGAAAGGCGUAGUCGAUGGGAAACGGGUUAAUAUUCCCGUACUUGGUGUUACUGCGAA
rnacentral:rRNA from 1 species